AACGACGUCGACAGUGCUGAGCAGCGUCGAAAGUUUUGCAUUUUGUUGCGUUUGCUUCGCGGGCGCAUUUGGCUUUUGAUUUGUUAUAGAGUUUAUCCGUCGAUCUUUUGUUCUUUUGAUUGCAAUUUGAUUUGUUCAGCUGGGGCGCACACACACAUUGAAGAGCCGCACGAUUCGAUUAACACUCAACAACAAUGGAAACAAAACAACAACAACAACAUCGCUGACUUGGCAAGAGUAAUCGAAAGAAAUUCACUUGCAAGACGUGCACAAAUUAUUGAAAAGCCGUAGCGAAAUUUCAUGAAAAUCGCAAGUGCACAAAGGCAUGGGCAAAAAACAAAAAAAAUCUCACAAAAAGUUAAAAAAAAAUCACAAAAUAUACAGAGAGGUACCAGAAGAAGCAGAAACAAUAACAUAAAAGGCAAAGACACUUCUAAUCAGUGGCAGAACGCCGGCGUCGACGUCGUCUGCGGCAGCGACUGCGACUGCGGCUGAGAAAAGAGAACCAGAACCAGAAUACCAAAGUAUCUGUGUGAACUAUUGUGAGUAUGUCUGCGUUGUGUUGGCGUCGGCGCUGCUUUUGUUUUUGUUUCUGUUCUGCUUUACUUUAGCGCUUUUCAUACCCCUCAGUCGUGUAAUCUGAGGCUAUAUCGUUUUAAGCUCAAGUUUGAAACAAUAAAGUACAAAAUCUGACUAACUAUUUUACAGGGAGUUUCAUUAAUAAUAAAUAAAAUUUAAGAUUCUAUCUUACAUCUGUAGGGAACACCUAAUUAUGACAAAAUUAUCCGAGAUUUUCUAUCUAAACUACAGUUUGACUUACUUUUAUGAAACCAAUCAAAAACUUUAAAUUUGUAAAAUAUCGAGGAGGGAGAACAAGUCUGCUAUUUAACUAGUUUUUGAAAAGAACUACAGAAAAAAGUAUUCUAUUUGGUGAAUAUGAAUUUUAACAAUCUUCAAUUUAAUUUUUCAACGCUCUUUGUUUGAUAGCCUUAAGUUAAAUUUUUAACCAUAUAGUCGAGAACUCUAUCCACGAAAUCUAUCAUUAGUAAAACACAAAUUUUGAUAUUCAACAAACAAUAAUGAUUAUUUAGAAGGAAAGAAAACUCAGUAUAACUCAUUUAAGCCUACAUAUGUAAUCCUCAAGUAGUGGGCAGUUGAAAAACUCUACGAAAACCAUUUCUACUUGUUCGCUUGUAAAGUAAAGUGAACAAUAGUGGAGGAGGCAAAAAAAAGGAAGACGAAGACGAAAAAGCAAGAAAAACAAUCACAUUUAAAUCAGAAUGUGUUUGCUUUUCAGUUUUUAUUUUCAUGCCCCCGUGCAGGCCAAGCGCGCGCGACUUUAGCUGUUUAUUUUGUUUUUAAUUAAUGCAAAAUGUAUACAAAAUAGCCGCGAAUAGGCGCAGCAACCAACACAAUGACAUAGCAUUCGGGGGCCAAGCCAAACGGCGCCAAGCGCACACACAUACAAAUAAAAUCGGAAAAGGCGAAACAAAAAUAACAACAAGAACAGCAGCGGCGGCGACGGAGGCAAGAACAACAAUUAAAUCGAAUUGGAAAUUAAAAAUAAAAAGUACAGUCCUCGCUCUUUUUCAAGCCCAAAGCGUUUUCCCCGCCGUUUUCCAAAUUGAAUUGAAAUGCAAACGAAAGCUAAAUACUAAAAUUAGCUUAAAAUAAAAGCAGACAGGGCAAUAACAACAAGUGAAUAGAAAAUCAAAGCGAAGCAUAUAAAACAGCGAUAAUUCAAACGCAAAAUGUAAACACUUCAAAGCUGGGAAACGAGGAUAGCGGGCGGAGAAUGGAAGAAAAGCUGAGAAAAUACGACUACAGUUGCAUAGGAAAAUUGGAAUAACAAGAAAAAGAAGUGGGUAUGGAUUGGAGUCGAAAAGGGGGAGUGAAUGGGUGUUUUGGGGAGUCGAAGUAUGAAUGCUUGACCUGGCCUUUAAUAUCUCACUAACUCACACGCACAUUGAUUUGUUUACGCAAAUGACACAAUUAUUAUUCCGUGCAGAUAAAAAAAUUAUAGAAUAUAAAAAAAGCCAGUCAUGUUAGCAAUAUAAACUCUAAAAGAUUAUGAAAAAAAUAUUAUA